UCGACAAAGGAUAGCUCAGUUGGUAAAGCAUGAGACUGUUUAUAUCAGGUCAUGAGUUCGAACCCCACACUGGGCAAAA